AACGAAUCUAUUGUCCUUUUUGCCGACUGGUAUGCAAGAUUAUCACUCCACUUAGUUGGGUUUAUUUUUAGGUACUCCGAAGAAAUUCCGAAUCUUUUAAAUAUUUUAUACGGCUUGUAACUUAACAAAUUUACAGGUAGUUCUUUAUUUAAUAAUUCAUCCACGUCUUCUAACUUCAAACAUAAUUUUUUUUUGUCCUGUAAAAAAUUCGUCUUUNUGUAUCAUUAACGAUUUGUAACGAAUCUAUUGUCCUUUUUUCCGACUGGUACGCAAGAUUAUCAUUCCACUUAAUUGGGUUCAUUUUUAGGUACUCCGAAGAAAUUCCGAAUCUUUUAAAUAUUUUAUACGACUUGUAACUUAACAAAUUUACAGGUAGUUCUUUAUUUAAAAAUUCAUCCACAUCUUCUAACUUCAAACAUAAUUUUUUUUGUCCUGUAAAAAAUUUGUCUUCCACUCCCGGUGUUAAUUCUAUUUGUUCUUGGUACUUAAAAAGUUCGUCGGCCCCUUUUUUUUUCUAACAUCAAAUGAAAUCCUUUCAUCAAAUAUAGCAAAUACGGCACAUUCUUCAUUUAGAUACCAUAAAUGAUUUAAAAAUUUUGACAAACACACAUUUAUUAUAACACACAUUUGCAAUUUUUUUAUCAUCACUUUUAUAUUCGUUUAAAGUACGUAUUAAAUUUAUAUCGUUAAAUGGUGCCUCACUAACAUUUGUAACUAUAAACCAAUAUUUAAUAUACAUUUUUACAAUAAAUGCACUAAUUCGCACUAUAGCAUUUUCUUCGGUUUUCGUUAUUUUUAAUUCAGUUCGUAGUAAAAAUAUUUUCAGACAGUAAAUACAUUUUGCCAUCCACCUUGCCUGAUGACAUGCGCCCGGUUGACGAAUUGUCGUGCCACCAGGUGGAGUUUCUCCAAGUAUAAUAAUGACUAGUUCAAUUAAUUCUUUGUAAU